AGCAGUCGCCGCGGUAAUACGGAGGGAGCUAGCAUUGUUCGGAAUUACUGGGCGUAAAGCGCACGUAGGCGGUUAUUCAAGUCAGAGGUGAAAGCCCGGGGCUCAACCCCGGAACUGCCUUUGAAACUAGAUGACUAGAAUCUUGGAGAGGUCAGUGGAAUUCCGAGUGUAGAGGUGAAAUUCGUAGAUAUUCGGAAGAACACCAGUGGCGAAGGCGACUGACUGAACAAGUAUUGACGCUGAGGUGCGAAAGCGUGGGGAGCAAACAGGAUUAGAUACCCCCGUAGUCCCUGUCUCUUAUAC
rnacentral:rRNA from 1 species